GAGGAAGUAAAAGUCGUAACAAGGUUUCCGCAGUGCCCCUUCUUUGAAGCCUUCUGCACAACGACUUUAACCAUGUGCAUAGUCUGCCUUUUAACGGUGGGCGACGUCACCUGCGUGCUGGAACCCACCCCUGUGGGAACCAGCAGCCGGGAUUACCAGUGUGGAUAUUCCCGGUGCACAGAUUAGGCGGUGGCGGCCAGUAUUUUAGCCCUUGAAAUUAAGACCCUUCUACCCCUCGAUCAGGUACCUGCCUUGAGAGUCGAUCCUGUUCACGGGUUACAUGACGUUGAUUGAUUUCAGAGAGCCAAGCGCUGGUCAAGAUAUAAUCGGUAGCUAUUACCCCAAUAUAGCCAAAUAAACGUUCCGUAGGUGAACCUGCGGAAGGAUCAUUA
rnacentral:rRNA from 1 species